AAUUAUUCGAGUGUGUGCAUUUGAGCUGGGUGGCUUAUUUGGAAUGAAACCCCCAAAAGACAAAAACCCAUGCUUUUUUUUCCCAAAUUGAGGCGAGGAACAUAGCCUUAUAAAUUGCAUGUGAAUGCCAUGACAUCUCUCAUCCAUAUCUUAUACUCAAAAUCGAUUUGAUUUGGUCGAUAAAGCGCGUUGCGUCGAAGAAAAAGAAAUGGUAAAAUCGAGAAGCGGCCGUCACCGGCCAUAUGGAGCGACUUCCAUGCCUUUCUCCUCUGUCUAUAUAAAUCAGAGCCCAUUUCUGCAAAAUCAAAAGGGGUUGAGAGAAAUGUGAAGAUCUUGAGAUCCAUCUCGGGCAUGGCAGACAGGACGAAGCCAGGCAGUAACAAACAAGAACUGGAAGAAGAAAGGGGUUGUAUUUUUUUGUUCUUGGGUCAUUUAGUUUCUUCCAACUUUAUUUAUUUUUGUUGGGUUUUUGGAAUUUUAAUGAUUUUUUGUUGGGAGGGAGGAUCAAUCCCAGAACACAAAUGCUUUAAUUUGCGUGGAUUGUGAUCCAAGCCAAGAUCGAUUGCACAAAAUUUCAGAAUCUGUUUCUUUUUCUCUUUCUA